GGCGGAGCCAAAUGCUGGUUUGGCCAAUCAGGACCUCCUCAUAGAGAUGCAUCUCUAUGAGGAAAAUUCUGCAUCUCCAUGCAGAGCGUGGGGAUGCUGAACGGCAGGAUGCUUACUGUGCAGCUCGGAGGCAGGAAGCACCUCCAGUGGCCAUCUAAGGAGUGGUUACUUGGAGGUGUCCCUAGGGGCAAUGUAAACACUGCCUUUUCUCUGAAAAGGCAGUGUUUACAUGAAAAUGCCUGCAGGGAGUUAUUAUACUCACCAGAACAAAUACAUUAACGUGUAGUUGUUCUGGUGACUAUAGUGACCCUUUAAUGUUGAAAAAUAAAAUGUGAUACAUUUGUAGCUUUUAAAGUAUCAUAGGCAUACAAUAAAAGGUCUUC